GGACUACUGGGGUAUCUAAUCCUGUUUGAUCCCCACGCUUUCGUGCCUCAGCGUCAAUAAUUGUGUAGCAGGCUGCCUUCGCAAUUGGUGUUCUAUGUCAUAUCUAAGCAUUUCACCGCUACAUGACAUAUUCCGCUCACCUCCACAAUAUUCAAGAUAAAUAGUAUCCAUGGCAGUUCCCAAGUUAAGCUUGGGGAUUUCACCACAGACUUACCUACCCGCCUACGCACCCUUUAAACCCAGUGAAUCCGGAUAACGCUUGCACCCUCCGUAUUACCGCGGCUGCUGGCAC
rnacentral:rRNA from 1 species